GCAGGGGUAUCAUGCAUAUUCUGACUCACUCCUGUACCUCUGCUUGGUUAGGACUGGGGAUUCUCAAAUCCAGCUGAGGUUUCACACCUCAAGAAAACAACCCACUGCAUUGUCUUGUCAACCUGAAUAGUAUUCCUUAAAAUGACACUUCAGCGAGCCUGAAACCAUACUCACGGCGUGAAGAGGUGCACCUUGGGUUUAUCAUCUCUAAGAAGCUAUGGAUUGGAGUCAGAUGUUGCAGCUCUCACUCUUCUCACUCCUCUGUCUCACUGGCAGCGCCAAGGCAGUAGGAGAUCUCUGUGAGGACAAAGGACGAGAGGUUGAGCGGGUGUUUUCAGUUUCCGGUGAUGCUGCCAUGUUAACAUCCACCCUGGUGGACCUCAAUGUGUUUGACAACGGCAGCAUCCCCUAUAACAUCUCAUGGUAUGACCCAAGGACUGGGAGAGAGCUGACCAGGGAGACAAGAAAGACU